GUGCCAGCAGCCGCGGUAAUACGUAGGUGGCAAGCGUUGUCCGGAUUUAUUGGGCGUAAAGCGAACGCAGGCGGGAGAAUAAGUCAGCUGUGAAAGCCCCCAGCUUAACUGGGGAAGUGCAACUGAAACUAUUUUUCUUGAGUGCAGAAGAGGAGAGUGGAACUCCAUGUGUAGCGGUGGAAUGCGUAGAUAUAUGGAAGAACACCAGUGGCGAAGGCGGCUCUCUGGUCUGUUACUGACGCUGAGGCUCGAAAGCAUGGGUAGCGAACAGGAUUAGAUACCCUGGUAGUCCAUGCCGUAAACGAUGAGUGCUAAGUGUUGGGAGGUUUCCGCCUCUCAGUGCUGCAGCUAACGCAUUAAGCACUCCGCCUGGGGAGUACGACCGCAAGGUUGAAACUCAAAUGAAUUGACGG
rnacentral:rRNA from 1 species